AAAUCACGCAUGAGCGGCAGCGCCUAACACAUGCAAGUCGAGACGGUAGCACAGAGAGCUUGCUCUCGGGUGACGAGCGGCGGACGGGUGAGUAAUGUCUGGGAAACUGCCUGAUGGAGGGGGAUAACUACUGGAAACGGUAGCUAAUACCGCAUAACGUCGCAAGACCAAAGUGGGGGACCUUCGGGCCUCAUGCCAUCAGAUGUGCCCAGAUGGGAUUAGCUAGUAGGUGGGGUAAUGGCUCACCUAGGCGACGAUCCCUAGCUGGUCUGAGAGGAUGACCAGCCACACUGGAACUGAGACACGGUCCAGACUCCUACGGGAGGCAGCAGUGGGGAAUAUUGCACAAUGGGCGCAAGCCUGAUGCAGCCAUGCCGCGUGUAUGAAGAAGGCCUUCGGGUUGUAAAGUACUUUCAGCGAGGAGGAAGGCGUUAAGGUUAAUAACCUUGGCGAUUGACGUUACUCGCAGAAGAAGCACCGGCUAACUCCGUGCCAGCAGCCGCGGUAAUACGGAGGGUGCAAGCGUUAAUCGGAAUUACUGGGCGUAAAGCGCACGCAGGCGGUCUGUCAAGUCGGAUGUGAAAUCCCCGGGCUCAACCUGGGAACUGCAUUCGAAACUGGCAGGCUAGAGUCUUGUAGAGGGGGGUAGAAUUCCAGGUGUAGCGGUGAAAUGCGUAGAGAUCUGGAGGAAUACCGGUGGCGAAGGCGGCCCCCUGGACAAAGACUGACGCUCAUGUGCGAAAGCGUGGGGAGCAGACAGGGAUUAGAUACCCUGGGUAGUCCACGCCGUAACGAUGUCGACUUGGAGGUUGUGCCCUUGAGGCGUGGCUUCCCGGGAGCUAACGCGUGA
rnacentral:rRNA from 1 species